GUGGGGAAUAUUGCACAAUGGGCGCAAGCCUGAUGCAGCAACGCCGCGUGAGUGAUGAAGGCCUUCGGGUUGUAAAACUCUGUCCUAUGGGAAGAAACAAAUGACGGUACCAUGGGAGGAAGCCCCGGCUAACUACGUGCCAGCAGCCGCGGUAAUACGUAGGGGGCAAGCGUUAUCCGGAAUCACUGGGCGUAAAGGGUGCGUAGGUGGCUUAUCAAGCCAGAGGUGAAAGGCAGUGGCUCAACCAUUGUAAGCCUUUGGAACUGAUUAGCUUGAGUGCAGGAGAGGUAAGUGGAAUUCCUAGUGUAGAGGUGAAAUUCGUAGAUAUUAGGAGGAACACCAGUGGCGAAGGCGACUUACUGGACUGUAACUGACACUGAGGCACGAAAGCGUGGGUAGCGAACAGGAUUAGAUACCCCAGUAGUCC
rnacentral:rRNA from 1 species